rnacentral:rRNA from 1 species
GACGAACGCUGGCGGCGUGCCUAAUACAUGCAAGUAGAACGCUGAAGGAGGAGCUUGCUUCUCCGGAUGAGUUGCGAACGGGUGAGUAACGCGUAGGUAACCUGCCUGGUAGCGGGGGAUAACUAUUGGAAACGAUAGCUAAUACCGCAUAACAGUAGAUAUUGCAUGAUAUCUGCUUGAAAGGUGCAAUUGCAUCACUACCAGAUGGACCUGCGUUGUAUUAGCUAGUUGGUGAGGUAACGGCCCACCAAGGCGACGAUACAUAGCCGACCUGAGAGGGUGAUCGGCCACACUGGGACUGAGACACGGCCCAGACUCCUACGGGAGGCAGCAGUAGGGAAUCUUCGGCAAUGGACGGAAGUCUGACCGAGCAACGCCGCGUGAGUGAAGAAGGUUUUCGGAUCGUAAAGCUCUGUUGUAAGAGAAGAACGAGUGUGAGAGUGGAAAGUUCACACUGUGACGGUAUCUUACCAGAAAGGGACGGCUAACUACGUG